rnacentral:ncRNA from 1 species
UUAUUGGUAACGAUAAGGUAUGAAGGAAGCGCUAGAGGACAUAUGGAACAUAACGCAAGUAAACCAAGUAUUGGCUUAUAAAGUGGAUAACCUUGCAAAAAGUAGGAAAGUCCAAAGUUCGGUAGUUACUUUAUAAGUUUUUAUGGAUGUGUUCAUAUGGGGCAGGCAAGC